rnacentral:rRNA from 1 species
UACGUAGGGACCGAGCGUUGUCCGGAAUCAUUGGGCGUAAAGAGCGUGUAGGCGGCCACUUAAGUCCUGCGUGAAAUCUUGCGGCUCAACCGCAAGCGGUCGUGGGAAACUGGGUGGCUAGAGUGCGGGAGAGGAGAGUGGAAUUCCUGGUGUAGCGGUGGAAUGCGCAGAUAUCAGGAAGAACACCCGUGGCGAAGGCGGCUCUCUGGAACGCAACUGACGCUGAGACGCGAAAGCGUGGGGGGCAAACAGG